GUCAUACUGCUCGGACGAAAUACUUCACGUCCACAAGCUAAAGGUUUAUUUUAGAACAUCUGACAGGCUCUAAGAGCCAUCCUAAGAGUAUGCAGUAAGGCGGAAUAAGCGGCAGUCAUUCCACACUGAAUCUCUCUAACCAGCCUCAGAAAUACCUCAGGAAAUGGGGUUCCACAAGCCAAUACCAGCCUCUUCCUGCAAAUUCCUCUGGGAGAACACAAUGAGGAAACACCUCACCACACAUUAGCCUGGGCAAGAAGGAGCACUAAGGCCACCUUCUUCUCAGUGUGCACCUUGAGGCUGACCAGGAAAGAAGCGGAACUCAGGUCAUCUGAGCAAAGCUGUGCAGUACUUGAAGAGUCCCUUCAAUACGCUGGAAUUCUCCACUUACUCUAGCCAUUCCACAGAAAGUUACUCCUUGGAGAGCGAAG
rnacentral:lncRNA from 1 species